CCUACGGGCGGCAGCAGUGAGGAAUAUUGGUCAAUGGACGAGAGUCUGAACCAGCCAAGUAGCGUGAAGGAUGACUGCCCUAUGGGUUGUAAACUUCUUUUAUAUGGGAAUAAAAUGUUCCACGUGUGGGAUUUUGUAUGUACCAUAUGAAUAAGGAUCGGCUAACUCCGUGCCAGCAGCCGCGGUAAUACGGAGGAUCCGAGCGUUAUCCGGAUUUAUUGGGUUUAAAGGGAGCGUAGGUGGAUUGUUAAGUCAGUUGUGAAAGUUUGCGGCUCAACCGUAAAAUUGCAGUUGAAACUGGCAGUCUUGAGUACAGUAGAGGUGGGCGGAAUUUGUGGUGUAGCGGUGAAAUGCUUAGAUAUCACGAAGAACUCCGAUUGCGAAGGCAGUUCACUGGACUGCAACUGACACUGAGGCUCGAAAGUGUGGGUAUCAAACAGGAUUAGAUACCCCAGUAGUC
rnacentral:rRNA from 1 species